rnacentral:rRNA from 1 species
GACGAACGCUGGCGGCGUGCCUAAUACAUGCAAGUAGAACGCUGAAGGAGGAGCUUGCUUCUCCGGAUGAGUUGCGAACGGGUGAGUAACGCGUAGGUAACCUGCCUGGUAGCGGGGGAUAACUAUUGGAAACGAUAGCUAAUACCGCAUAAGAGUAGAUGUCGCAUGACAUUUGCUUAAAAGGUGCAACUGCACCACUACCAGAUGGACCUGCGUUGUAUUAGCUAGCUGGUGAGGUAACGGCUCACCAAGGCAACGAUACAUAGCCGACCUGAGAGGGUGAUCGGCCACACUGGGACUGAGACACGGCCCAGACUCCUACGGGAGGCAGCAGUAGGGAAUCUUCGGCAAUGGACGGAAGUCUGACCGAGCAACGCCGCGUGAGUGAAGAAGGUUUUCGGAUCGUAAAGCUCUGUUGUAAGAGAAGAACGAGUGUGAGAGUGGAAAGUUCACACUGUGACGGUAUCUUACCAGAAAGGGACGGCUAACUACGUG